UACAGUGUUUUGACUCUUCGUCUUAUUUGAAUUUUUUUGCGAUUAAUAUUUUUAUUCUUACUAAAUGAUAAAAUAUGAAUAGUACUUUAUGCUGACUAAUUUUUUUAGAUUUUUGUACAAAAUUUUCAAAUAAGACGAAUGGUCAAACGUUGGACACGGAAAAAC
rnacentral:pre_miRNA from 1 species